rnacentral:rRNA from 1 species
AGAAUCAACGCUGGCGGCGUGCCUAACACAUGCAAGUCGCACGAGAAAGGGUAGCAAUACCUGAGUACAGUGGCGCACGGGUGAGUAACACGUGAAUAAUCUACCUCCGAGUGGGGAAUAACUGAGAGAAAUCUUAGCUAAUACCGCAUAACACUUACGAGUCAAAGCAGCAAUGCGCUUGGAGAGGAGUUCGCGGCAGAUUAGUUAGUUGGCGGGGUAAUGGCCCACCAAGACGAUGAUCUGUAUCCGGCCUGAGAGGGCGCACGGACACACUGGAACUGAAACACGGUCCAGACUCCUACGGGAGGCAGCAGUGGGGAAUUUUGCGCAAUGGGGGAACCCUGACGCAGCAACGCCGCGUGGAGGAUGAAAUCCCUUGGGAUGUAAACUCCUUCGAUCGGGAAGAUAAUGACGGUACCGAGAGAAGAGCCCGGCUAACUCGCGCCAGCAGCCGC